rnacentral:snRNA from 1 species
GGAUGGGAGAAUGAUCUGGCUGUGGCAUGUGUCACCCAAUUGAUUGCCAGAGUUGAUUUGGCUGUUUUGGCUGGCAAAGUGGGUGUCCCCUUUCUCCCUCACCAUUCCACAUGCUUCCAUUGGUCAAAGAGAACAACUUUUCCAAUAGAGGAAUGGGUCUUGGAUCAAGACCCAUGUAUAUAUAUACAUGGGUCUUGAUAUAUAUAUAUAUAUAUAUAUAUAUAUAUAUAUAUAUAUAUAUAU